rnacentral:rRNA from 1 species
GACGAACGCUGGCGGCGUGCUUAACACAUGCAAGUCGAGCGGUAAGGCCCUUUCGGGGGUACACGAGCGGCGAACGGGUGAGUAACACGUGGGUGACCUGCCCUCAGCUCUGGGAUAAGCCUGGGAAACCGGGUCUAAUACCGGAUAUGACUCCAUGACGCAUGUUGUGGGGUGGAAAGCCUUGUGCGGCUGAGGAUGGGCCCGCGGCCUAUCAGCUUGUUGGUGGGGUGANGGCCUACCAAGGCGACGACGGGUAGCCGGCCUGAGAGGGCGACCGGCCACACUGGGACUGAGACACGGCCCAGACUCCUACGGGAGGCAGCAGUGGGGAAUCUUGGACAAUGGGCGCAAGCCUGAUCCAGCCAUGCCGCGUGAGUGAAGAAGGCCUUAGGGUUGUAAAGCUCUUUUACCAGGGACGAUAAUGACGGUACCUGGAGAAUAACG